GCCAUAAUGAUUAUAUCUACAACCUCUGCAUGCAGAUUUGUGAUGCAAUUUGCUUUUCUUCUUAUGCCAAUAACAAAGGCUAGUCCUCGCCCAUAUGUAACUUCACUAUUUCCGGAAAAGAAAAUAUCCCACACUGUAUGUAGAACAAUCACGUACAUGGUCCUGGCUUAGGGCAGAUCAUGCCCUACACAACAUUGUCAUUCACUGCCCUCAUCUUCGUGAUUGGCCCACAGG
rnacentral:lncRNA from 1 species